UGUAACAGGCUGCACACGUAUCGACGCAUGCGCACUGUUCUUAGCUUAGGUCUGCUGCUCUCUGAAGCUGCAAACAGGCCAGCGCCAAGACAGAAGAAAUGCUGUUCAUCAGCAGGUGAAGCUGUCUGUAUUUCAAGUGAUUCCAUACACUUUGAGUUGUACCCAUGUGGGCAGAAAUGAAGGAAUAUUGUCCAGAGCUGAGCGGGGUUUACUGAUAGGAUUUCCCACCAGUUUUGCUGCACAGCUGUUCCUCAUUCUCCUCAUCAUCCCCACCCUCUUCCAGACUGCUUAAAGACUGGUUCAUUCAUCCACUCCUACCUGGUCCAGUCUCACCUCUUCUGCACUUCUUGAGCCAUGCUUACCUCCAACACUGUCAGACUGGGUUCAGUCACCAACCAGCUCUUCUGCCAGCCCACUACUGGCUCUGUGUUCCUGGAAACUCCCUGAACUCUCUAACCUCCAUUCAGUCCUGAAUUCACCAGUUCAACUAGUUAACAACUCUGCAUUCUGUAUGGACAACUGUGCCUCUUCAGCCAGAGACUCUGUUGCAAAUAAACACCUGUCGAAUUUUUACUUCUGAGUGUGUGUGCAUUCUGCCCCGGGGUCCUAAAUCAAUGUGUUUAAACAUAAGAAUAAACCUGUGUGGGUUUGAUCAAAUUUGGCUGUACCAUAUGAGUUUGUACAGCUGAGGUAUUUGACAUGUCGCUUUACUUUAACUGGACUAAAUUCACAGAUUUUUACUUGUUUGUUCGAAUCUUGCUUUAAUCUCUGUGUUGUCACAUUAUUAUCUCUUCCUGUAUUAAGGAAGGCGACAGUCCACUCGUUCUUUUCAUCAGCUGCACCUGGAGGAAAAAAAAAGUGUCACAUCUCAAAUCUUCAGAGGUCACCUGAAGGACAAAUCAUAGUGUCGACUGUCACUCUGCUGUUUGUGGGUGUGUGUUGUGUAAGUUGCUUUGUAUAGGCUACCUGUCUUUGCGUUUGCUUGUGAGUGUGUCCAUGGUUUCAAGAGGAUUACUAGUUCAUCAUGACACCUUCACAUGUUUCCCAGGUGUGAAGCACCUUUCAGUUUUUUAUGUGAAAUGUAAAACAUGCAGACAAAU